rnacentral:rRNA from 1 species
GAACGAGGUCCAUCCGGUGGCAACACCGGCAGAAGACCUAGUGGCGAACGGGUGAGUAACACGUGAGCAACCUGCCCCGAAGACUGGGAUAACAGCGGGAAACCGCUGCUAAUACCGGAUGCCCCCAUUGGGUCGCAUGGCCCGAUGAGGAAAUGGAUUCCGCUUCGGGAGGGGCUCGCGGCCUAUCAGCUUGUUGGUGGGGUGACGGCCCACCAAGGCGACGACGGGUAGCUGGUCUGAGAGGACGAUCAGCCACACUGGGACUGAGACACGGCCCAGACUCCUACGGGAGGCAGCAGUGGGGAAUCUUGCGCAAUGGGCGAAAGCCUGACGCAGCAACGCCGCGUGAGGGAUGAAGGCCUUACGGGUUGUAAACCUCUUUCGAGCAGGGACGAUAAUGACGGUAUCUGCAGAAGAAGCUCCGGCCAACUACGUGCCAGCAGCAGCGGACAUAAU